rnacentral:rRNA from 1 species
UACGUAGGUGGCAAGCGUUGUCCGGAUUUACUGGGCGUAAAGGGCGUGCAGGCGGUUUGUUAAGUGCAGAGUGAAAGCUCCCGGCUCAACUGGGAGAGGUCUUUGCAUACUGGCAAACUCGAGGGAGGCAGAGGAAAGUGGAAUUCCCGGUGUAGUGGUGAUAUGCGUAGAUAUCGGGAGGAACACCUGUGGCGAAAGCGGCGCACUGGACCACAACUGACGCUGAGGCGCGAAAGCUAGGGGAGCAAACAGG